CAAUAGCGUAUAUUAAAGUUGUUGCAGUUAAAAAGCUCGUAGUUGGAUUUGUGGUUCGUCCCACCGGCUGGGUCAUUGACUUUUGCUGUGCUGGUCGUCCAUCCUUGGGUGGAAUCUGUGUGGCAUUAGGUUGUCGCGCAGGGGAUGCCCAUCGUUUACUGUGAAAAAAUUAGAGUGUUCAAAGCAGGCUUAUGCCGUUGAAUAUAUUAGCAUGGAAUAAUGAUAUAGGACCUUGGUACUAUUUUGUUGGUUUGCGCACUGAGGUAAUGAUUAAUAGGGACAGUUGGGGGUAUUCGUAUUCCAUUGUAAGAGGUGAAAUUCUUGGAUUUUUGGAAGACGAACUACUGCGAAAGCAUUUACCAAGGAUGUUUUCAUUAA
rnacentral:rRNA from 1 species